rnacentral:rRNA from 1 species
AUUGAACGCUGGCGGCAGGCCUAACACCUGCAAGUCGAACGGGUGGCGGACGGGUGAUUCAUGUCAGGGAAACUGCCCGAUGGGGGGGGAUAACUACUGGAAACGGUAGUUCAUACCGCAUACCAUUGGAUCUGCCCCGAUGGGAUUAGCUUGUAGGGGAGGGAACAGCUCACCUAGGGGACGAUCCCUAGCUGGUGUGAGAGGAUGACCAUGCAGACUGGAACUGAGACACGGGACAGAUGCCGACGGGAGGCAGCAGUGGGGAAUAUUGCACAAUUGGGGAAAGCCUGAGGCAGCCAUGCCGCGUGUGUGAAGAAGGUCGUCGGGUUGGAAAGUACUUUCAGCGGGGAGGCGUUAACAGCAGAAGAAGCACCGGAUAACUUCGUGCCAGCAGCCGCGGUAAGUC